CCUACGGGCCGCACCAGUGGGGAAUAUUGCACAAUGGGCGCAAGCCUGAUGCAGCCAUGCCGCGUGUAUGAAGAAGGCCUUCGGGUUGUAAAGUACUUUCAGCGAGGAGGAAGGCGUUAAGGUUAAUAACCUUGGUGAUUGACGGUACUCGCAGAAGAAGCACCGGCUAACUCCGUGCCAGCAGCCGCGGUAAUACGGAGGGUGCAAGCGUUAAUCGGAAUUACUGGGCGUAAAGCGCACGCAGGAUGUCUGUCAAGUCGGAUGUGAAAUCCCCGGGCCCAACCUGGGAACUGCAUUCGAAACUGGCAGGCUAGAGUCUUGUAGAGGGGGGUAGAAUUCCAGGUGUAGCGGUGAAAUGCGUAGAGAUCUGGAGGAAUACCGGUGGCGAAGGCGGCCCCCUGGACAAAGACUGACGCUCAGGUGCGAAAGCGUGGGGAGCAAACAGGAUUAGAUACCCGUGUAGUC
rnacentral:rRNA from 1 species